CACAAAUUCAUGAUUUAAAAGCUAGACACAUGAGAGUUUUCACUUUCUUGAUUUUGAGCUGAAAGAAAUCUCAGAGCAUAUAUUUCAGUGCCUUCAAUUUUACAUAGAAAGAAAUAGACCUGAGUCAUGUCAAUUUUACAUAGAAAGAAAAAGACCUAAGUCACAGAAUAAAAAGCUAUUCCAUGGUGCCUGUAGGUAAUCUUUGGUGUCUGAGUUCCUAAGUUGCCCUAUGUGUAAAUGGGAUUCGUUAAAGUGUAUGAUUCACUUAGGAUAUUUGCUGUGGCUAAGUGUAAAACAUAAGGAUUGGGGUGCCUGGGUAUCUCAGUCAAUUAAGUGUCCGACUCAAGUUCAGCUCAGGUCAUGAUCCCAGGGUCAUGGGAUUGAGCCCCAUGUCAGGCUCCACACUGAGGGUGGAGCCUGCUUGAGAUUUUUUGUCUCUCUUUCUCUCUGCUCCUCCCCGCCCUGCUUGUGCCCUUCCUUUCUCUAAAAUAAAUAAAUAAAAAAAUAAAAACAAAAAAACCCCUAAGCAUCAAAAUGAUUUAGAGUUUCAUCAGCAACAAAUUACAAGUUAUUUUGUUAAAACUAAUUAAAACAUUUUUAUUUGUAAAUUAAACUUUCCAUUCUGUUAUUACUUUUAGGAAUGUGAAAAACCAGAGGGGGUUCUAAAUAAUAGAACAGCAACUAAAAAAUUAGUUGUCAUAAUAUUUACAUUCAAAAAGGUACUGAUGAAGUGGCUCUCAAGUUGUUCUUUAGGCAAAAAUUGAAUUACUAAGACCCUCAAGAGGGUCGAGCUGUGUGAAAGCUAUAGAGAAACUAAUUUUGGCUCAGGAUAAAAGAAGGACAAUCUUUAUAUCAGUAAGUGGUAUUUUCCCUAAGGUGCUCAAGCAUCGGUGUUUUAGAGGGAUUCAUAUGCCCUGUGGUGGUUGAAGAAGGAAGGCUACAUUAAGGUAUCUGCCAAUAAGACUUUUAGAAAAUUUUUAUUCCAGUGUAAUCAUCAUACAGUGUUACAUCAGUUUCAGGUGUACAAUAUAAUGAUUCAGCAAUUGUAUACCUUACUCAGUGCUUACCACAACUAGUGUACUCUUUUU